rnacentral:misc_RNA from 1 species
GCGGACCCGACGGCUGGCGCGAAGCGGUCUGCUGAUGCUCUGUACCAUCAGAAUGUCUUGGGAAGCAAUACUAUUGGACAAACUGAAGCUUUAUUUUCGACAAAUCCUUUGAUCAAACGCCCUAGAUAUGAUAUAGCCAGCAAUCUGCCGAUAUAUCCACAGAGACCGGGUGAGAAGGAUUGUCCUCACUAUAUGUUGACAAGAACCUGUAAAUUUGGAGAAGCUUGC